GUCGGAGUGGCGGAAAUGGCAGACGCGCUAGGUUGAGGGCCUAGUCCUCUACGGAGGGUGAGGGUUCAAGUCCCUCCUCCGACACCA
rnacentral:tRNA from 1 species